AAAUAUUUAUUGUUCUUUUAAUUUUCUCAAGAACGGAGUUCUAUCUUUGUUGAUAGAACUCCAAU